AUUGAACGCUGGCGGCAGGCUUAACACAUGCAAGUCGAGCGGGGACUUCGGUCCUAGCGGCGAACGGGUGAGGAAUGCUUGGGAAUCUGCCCAGUAGCGGGGGAUAACGUUUCGAAAGGAACGCUAAUACCGCAUACGCCCUACGGGGGAAAGGGGGGGAUCUUCGGACCUCUCACUAUUGGAUGAGCCAAAGUCGGAUUAGCUAGUUGGUGGGGUAAAGGCCUACCAAGGCGACGAUCCGUAGCUGGUCUGGGAGGAUGAUCAGCCACACUGGAACUGAGACACGGGCCAGACUCCUACGGGAGGCAGCAGUGGGGAAUAUUGGACAAUGGGCGAAAGCCUGAUUCAGCCAUGCCGCGUGUGUGAAGAAGGCCUUCGGGUUGUAAAGCACUUUAAGCGAGGAGGAAUGGCUCUUGGUUAAUAACCUUGAGCAGUGACGUUACUCGCAGAAUAAGCACCGGCUAACUCUGUGCCAGCCGCCGCAGUAAAAC
rnacentral:rRNA from 1 species